GAAGCUUUCUACUUGCAAAUAACCUGAGUGAUGAAGAUUACAGGCUUAUGAGUGAUAACAAUUUGCUAGGCACUAUAGGUGAAGUACAGAAGAGUUGCUGAGAAGGUUACAACAAAUUAAAGAGGAUUCCCCACAAGAAUCAGGUGAAAACAGAGGUGGAUGACGUCUAGCACUAGUAAUGGGUCUGUAAUAAAGUGGCUUACCUCUUUUGGGCAAACUGAAAAUAUGACAGGAAGUAAGCAAAGAGAAAACCAAGCUUGGACAGCAGUGAGCCAGAGUAAUCCAUAUAGUGGUAAUUUCAGAUUCAAUGUAGGGAUCAAUUUUAUCCUUAAUAAUGGAAGGCUGAAUACAGAAAAUGAAUAUGCAUCAUCUGCAAGAUUUCCCAGGGGAGAAAAUAGGGAAAACAGAGGAAAGUGGAAAAUCCACAAUCUGAGUCAACAUUUGCAAGGCCACCUAGGUCAGGUACAAAGUGCGACAGAAGUAUUAAUGAAAGUUCCACUUACCAGAGGUCAGAGAAGACUGAGAAGCAGGAGCCCAGACCAAUGGAGAACCAGAGCGAGAAAUAAAAGUAGGUUCCCUCCAAAUUCAUGGUGAGAAAUUUCACAAAUAUUUCAUGAUAAUAUACAUCUCAGACUUUUGAAUGACCCCUGGUAAAUGAGACAGAGAUUUUCUAGAACUCAGCAACAUGAGACAUUGAGAGAGCAAAUAACUGACCCAUAGUUGCAAAGUGGCAUGUUUUUGUAGCUUUUGGAACAUGGAAUGCCUUUCCAGGAAAACGUUCUCCAGACACAAUCAGAAAUGGUGAAUCUGGGGCACUGAGACUGAGAAAUCCAGUCAUAGUCCUGAUUGUGAUAGUAGGAAGAGUUCAUCAUGGGGAAUAUUUGCCAAGAUAUAGCACACCUAAUAGAACCCAGUUAACAUCUCCAACACCAAACAACAGUCACUUUAGAAAGUGAACAAAGAGAACUCAGAAAUAAUAUUUUCACAUUCUGAGCAAGCAGGUGUGAGCACCUAUUUCACUACCAAAAGAAUUCCUGUUCACAGAAUUUCAAAUACUCAUUUAAAUAAUACACCUGUUGCAACUCAAAGAGCAUUAAAGCAGACAAUGACAAGAUUUGCAGACUCAAAUAUGGACAGUGAUAGUGAUUUGUAUCCUAGCGGCUCACCCCAGUCAGAACAUGGCAAGAGCAAAGUCACAGAAUGAAAGAGAUGGUUCUGAUAUCAGCAACUGUUCUGGCUCCAAUUCAUGUCACAGUACUGCUUAUGAGUCUGACUCAAGUUCUGCAAUCUUUAAAUCAGCCUCCAGUUUUUGAAGCGUUCAUUAUACAUAAAGUAACAACCCGAUCUAACUCAUUGGUUCCUGAAGGAAUGACUGAACCUUCCUCAAUCAAUUUCUGUUUCAGUAAAAAAAAAGAGGGAAGGAGGGAGAGGGGGAGGAAAUGAAAGGAAUUUCCAAACAAGUUUUCCUCUAGGUGCAUACAGCUGUGACAGGACUGCCAGGCUCUGAAAGAACAAGCUUUUUAUGUUAGAAAGGGAGUAUCACCUAGCACUUUUAAACAGAUG
rnacentral:lncRNA from 1 species